rnacentral:rRNA from 1 species
GACGGGGGAUGCAAGUGUUAUCCGGAAUAAUUGGGCGUAAAGCGUCUGUAGGUGGUUUACCAAGUCUGUUGUUAAAAAAUCAGGGCUUAACCCUGAUCCGGCAACAGAAACUAGUAGGCUGGAGUACGGUAGGGGCAGAGGGAAUUCUCGGUGUAGUGGUGAAAUACGUAGAUAUCGAGAAGAACACCAAUAGCGAAAGCACUCUGCUGGGCCGAAACUGACAUUGAGAGACGAAAGCUAGGGAGCGAAAGGGAU